rnacentral:misc_RNA from 1 species
GGCAUUUGGUCUUCAAGAAUUAAGUACUCUUCUUAAUUCAUUGUAUUUCUCUUGUGAAUGUUGGGAUUGUUUCACUUAAUUGUGGUUUUAAAAGAAUCAUCCUUUUUCUGCUCUCAAUAUGUUAGUGAUCUUUUUUAGUAUAUAAUAAUUGACUGCAAAACAUUUUAAAUUUUUUUCAGGAAGAAUAUGGAUGACGUUAUU